GGGUCAGUAGGUUGGUCGUGCCACCGGUACGUACUGGUCUCACUGAUUCCUCCUUCCUGAAGAACCGUAAUGCCAUUAAUUUGGUGUUGCGGGGAAACAGGACUGUCACUUUGAAAAAAUUAGAGUGUUUAAAGCACGCUAACGCUUGAAUACAUUAGCAUGGAAUAAUGAAAUAGGACGAUCGAUCCUAUUUUGUUGGUUUCUAGGAUUGACGUA
rnacentral:rRNA from 1 species